rnacentral:rRNA from 1 species
CAGCAGCCACGGGAAUACGUAGGUGGCAAGCGUUGUCCGGAAUUAUUGGGCGUAAAGGGCUCGCAGGUGGUUUCUUAAGUCUGAUGUGAAAGCCCCCGGCUCAACCGGGGAGGGUCAUUGGAAACUGGGAAACUUGAGUGCAGAAGAGGAGAGUGGAAUUCCGCGUGUAGCGGUGAAAUGCGUAGAGAUGUGGAGGAACACCAGUGGCGAAGGCGACUCUCUGGUCUGUAACUGACGCUGAGGAGCGAAAGCGUGGGGAGCGUACAGGAUUAGAUACCCCUGUAGUCCCUGUCUCUUAUAA